GUCCAGAUCUGUCUUCAGAUGAUGGGCAUUGGGUAGCCUUUUAGCCCCCACCUUCUUCUCCGUUCUUUUGUUCGUGGUGUUGUGGCGUGGGUAGUGGACGCCAUCUUCGUUGACUCUCGUUGCCGGGCUUUUUUCCUCUUUUGGUGUUGAUUUUCAGUGUUGUUGGUGGAACGGGGAUACCUCUGUUGAGCGUUUUGUUUUUUGCUUUUGUUGUUUGUUUUUGUUGUUUUUUUUUUCCUUUUCCGUAUCUUGUGUUCUAGAUUCGGCUGAUUAUUCCUGUAUUUUUGAGGUACUUUCCCAAGCCAUGUUGGAUCUCGUACUGCAUGCUCCUGUUCAGUUCUAUAUUGAGGCCCAGCAGGUUAGGGUAGUGCAUUGUAGUAGGGCAUGCUCAGUAGUCUCAGGUUCAUCACAUUCCUGGCAUAGCGGAUUCAUGUCUGGCAUUUGUCUGGCUAAUUGAGCCCUUAGCCUGUUAUGGCCAGUCCUCAGUCUGAAGAGAAUUCUGGUUAACAUUCUGGAUUUGUGUUGGUGCCAUUCCAAGGAUCCGGUAUUGUUUGUAGAUGGCUGUUUUUUCUGCAAUUGACAGUGAAUUGUUGGUUCUGCUGCGUGGCCUAUCUAGGGCGAAUUCGAAUCUAGGAUAUCUGCUCUCUCGUUUCUUUGGACACCGACAUGGCUGGGUAUCUAGCAGAUUGUUGUCCUGGGAAGCCAGUGCUUUGACUACUGAUUAGGAGUCGGUAAAGAUGACCAAUUCGUCGAUGUCCCCUGGGUAGUUGUAUGCUAUCUCCAUGGCCCUGUGAAUGCCGUAUGCUUCUGCCGUAAAUAUGGACGUCCCUUCUGCAAGAGUGCCCGUUUCUUCGAUGUUGAACGCUGGGAGGAUUACCGCAUAGGUCGUAUUUUUUCUUUCUUUAUUUAGCGAGCCGUCUGUGUAUGCUUCUACCGCGUUUUGCUUUUGCAUUUUGUAUUUGUAGAACAGUGCCCUUACUUUUGCUUGGUUAGUCUGGGCUUCUUUUUUGCUUAUUUGUAAGUAGUCCAGGGUUAUUGGUGUCUCUGCCCAUGGAAGUUUUCCGUUUCGUUGAGGUGCUUGGUUGUCUCCCUCUUGGAAUAGGUUGAUGUUGGCCAUAAUAGUAUGCGAUGUUGCUAGUGUUA